rnacentral:pre_miRNA from 1 species
AUUAACGAGGCAUCUUGUUAAAAUGCAGAUUCUGAUUUCAUUGGCCUGGGAUUCUGCAUUUCUAACAAGUUCCCAGAUGAUGCUGG